rnacentral:lncRNA from 1 species
GGUUUUUGUCUGGGCUGAUAGUUGUGUGGUAGUAAUACAGAGAGUGUAUUAUAUCAAACACUGCACUUUUCUAUAUUUUCCUGGUUGUGGGUUAUAGUUCAUUAUUAAAGUUUUUUAAGAUGCAAAAUAAAUUGUCUUUUCUGUCUGGGAUGGUUUAUCCUUGUCCUGCCGAGCUUUAGGUCGAGAGAUUCCUUGUGAUUAUCUUAUAAUCACUAGGAGUAAACUACUGCCUCCCUACCUGCCUCCAAAGUAGGAUAUGCAUGCACCCCACGGGGCUCUUGGGAGGAUUCAUUUGUUUGAGAAAGAAAUUGAUGGGAACCUAUAUUUCCAUUCAUUUUUCUUAUCAUGAAACCUUAUGGUAAAGAUGGGAACCAUAUUGACACUGGCAUCAUCCUGGGUCCAUGUGCCAGGUGGGUGGGCAUCAUCUGGACGGAGAGAGGUGAGGCCUCCCCUUGGCAGUGGCUUCCCCUCUGGCUCCCCUGCUUGGGUUAUGAAAUAUAUCAUGAAAUACAUGAAAUACGUCAUGCCUAGUUAACUGGAUUGACAACUUCUAUGUUUUAGUUUUAACAACCCCUCACACACCAACAGAAUCUUGAAAAGACUCUGCAAAGAAUUCCCAUAAAGUGAAUAUAAUUUUAAUAUUGCCAGCAACAAGGAAAUGACAAAACUUAGCAUGAACCCUGGUGGCCCCAUUAGGAGGACAUGACAGUGAUCAUUGGAUCUAAUCUAGCAAGAAGCUGGCCGCCAAAAUUCUAAAUUAUCUGGAAAACAUAUAAAUUUGUAUCCACUAUGGUUAAUUAAUCAUGAACAUGGGUGCAUUUGUCUGGAGACAUCCUGGUUAGCAAAACCAUCAAUUCUGUCAUUCUUCUUUUCUCUUGGGUUUGUUUGGAAGGGUAUAUAACAUGUUCGUACAGUAAUACAGGUCUAUGAGUUGCACACAAACAGCCAAGCAUGUUUGGUGGUGGUUGUUCAAACACGUCAGAUAAAAAUACCUUGGAUGCCACUACCAUGUAGUUUAAAGUCUACUCUCUUCUCUUAGUUGAUUGUGUAGAAGAUGGAAAACCUUCCAUCCAUGGCAAAAAGAGGCACUUCUUGGUCUUAAUUUUUUUUUUUUUUUUACAAAUAUCAAUGCUAAGGCAAUAGUUUGUAGAUUUUACUUUCUUCCUCCUUUCUCCAAGCCUUGGUUUGGAGUUGGGUUGGAGAGAAUCCAAAGAUGUAUAUACUCAGAACAGCUCCGUUUUUGGUUUGUUCUUAUCCCCUGUAAGAUAUCUUUAGGAUUACAUCUAUUCAUAUGCACCCACAUAUAGUGGGAAGGGUGCUUGACCAGCAGUCAGGAGAAUGGGUUCUAAGCCUGUUUCUGCCUCUUGCCAGCAUCCAGGCCAUAGCACAGAGGCAGUACCCUCUGAGCCACCUUUGCUUUUUCUCUAUCAUGAGGGUGAUUGUCACAACACUUCCCUGACACUGACAGGUACCACAUGUGAAAGCAUCUGUAAAACGGAGUUUCCUACAAACAGAAGAAAGGAAUGAUAUGAUCUUGAGCCUCCUACUUCACCUUUAACAGAAUGUAACUUCUUCUUAAAGGGCGGACAACCUGGAAUUCCCAGGUGGCCUAGCAGUUAAGGAUCUGGCACUGUCACUACUAUGGCUCAGGUCACUGCUGUGGUGCGGGUUCGAUCCCUGGCCCAGGAACUUCCAUAUGCCACAGCACAACCAAAAAAAAAAAAAA